GGGGUUUGUUGACCUUAGUCUAUACUUACGGCUUCCCAACUGAGACCAGAAACACAAAGAAAAAGACGAAGGAAAAGAAGGGCAGGAAGAAGAGAGAGAGGUGAGAAGAGAAGGGUGGAUGAGGCCAGUUUGGCAAACUCUUGAACGUCUGAAGCUCAUGGGAAGCGCUGAGUACAUUUUGAUCCUUCUGCUUUCUCAUAUGCUCGGACAGUCUCACAGUAAAAAGCAUUGAUUAUAUUUUCAGCAACACACCUGUCCCUGGACUCUGGGACUUGAAAUAACCUCUGCCAGACAGCACCAUGGUGGGAGCAUUCGCACCGUAAGUCAAGGAAGCAAGAGGUACAAAGCCAGGCUCACUCAUAAUUAUUGUCUGCUUUCUGCAAACUGACUAGAAGCCCAGGAAAGCUAAGCUGAUCCCUUCCGAGACAGCACUGGGUGGCAUAACCGCCUUAUUCCUGGGUCCCUCCACAAUGUCACACUGAAGACCACGCCUCCAGCGCAUGUUCAAGCCAGCUCCCAACCAGAGCUGCCUCAACUUAAGACUUGUGGACUCUCCCCUCUGUGCUGCUGGAGGUACGUGAGGUCUGGGCAGAGGCAGGUAUGGAAAUCCAC
rnacentral:lncRNA from 1 species